CGCAGAUACCAGCUGGCUGCAACUGUUUAUUAAAAACACAGCACUGUGCAAACACGAAAGUGGACGUAUACGGUGUGACGCCUGCCCGGUGCUGGAAGGUUAAUUGAUGGGGUUAUCCGUAAGGAGAAGCUCUUGAUCGAAGCCCCAGUAAACGGCGGCCGUAACUAUAACGGUCCUAAGGUAGCGAAAUUCCUUGUCGGGUAAGUUCCGACCUGCACGAAUGGCGUAAUGAUGGCCAGGCUGUCUCCACCCGAGACUCAGUGAAAUUGAACUCGCUGUGAAGAUGCAGUGUACCCGCGGCAAGACGGAAAGACCCCGUGAACCUUUACUAUAGCUUGACACUGAACAUUGAGCCUUGAUG
rnacentral:rRNA from 1 species